rnacentral:rRNA from 1 species
GACAGAGGAGCCAAGCGUUGUCCGGAUUGACUGGGCGUAAAGCGCACGCAGGCGGUCACGCGCGUGGGGUGUGAAAACUGGCGGCUUAACUGCCAGAGGCCAUCCCAUACGGCGCGACUCGAGCCAUGCAGAGGUCCACGGAAUUGCCGGUGUAGUGGUGAAAUGCGUAGAGAUCGGCAGGAACACCCGUGGCGAAGGCGGCCAACUGGGCCGGACCUGACGCUGAGGCGCGAAGGCGUGGGGAGCGAACGGG